UUUAAAUCUUCAGGAUUUGUGUCUUUAUUACUAAGUCCAUUAUUCCAAUAUACUGGUCAGAAGAGUGAACCAGGAAACAGAGGGGACGGUCUUUUAUGCGGCAGCAGGGAAAGAGCUGGUUGCCUGAUGAUACUUAACCAUUGGGAUUGUUGAGAAGCAAUUUUUCAGCUUGCAGAUCCUAAGGAAGCAGCUCCAACUCAGAUCCUUCCUCAUCAUUGUUUCUCAUCAGGACUGGACGAUUCUGCCCAUGCAGGAGAAUGGAAAGAAUGCUGGGGAAAAGUAAAAGCAGAGCCUGGUGCCCCAUGAAUCCCUUCUGAAUUCUCUUGAAGGAUAUAGGCUACUCCUGAGGCUGGAUGCCUGAUAGCUCCUGGAAGGAGCCUCAUCUUAUUUCCCAGAGUCAUUGGUGAGAAGACUAGACUCUGCUUCCUUCUCUCACGUGUUUAGAGAUCAGUCUUUAAAAUAGCUUGGUCAGAUGAAAGAUUGUUCUUUGGAGGACUCACAGAUAAGUGCUUAAUAACAUGCCCCUACAAAAUGUAGAAAUCAAUAGUGAUUUCUAUUUAAAUAAAGAUAUCUCCUGUACUCUACAAUAAAUUGUAUUUAGGUCAUUCAAUUUAAUUAAAAUUCAAGAUAUUCAAAGGCCAAUUCUUUUUCUCAAAAGCCUUUAGAGGCCUUCUUUAAAGAUGUCCAUAAAGUUGAGCUCACAGACCCAUACAACCUUUUGUUUAAACAUAGUCUCAGAGUUGCUCUUAGUCACCGCCUUGAACUUUUAUCUUAGUGUAUUGUGAAUGAGCAGUGUCAGGGAUUCUGGCCUUCAGUGAGACCGCUAUG